rnacentral:rRNA from 1 species
AUUGAACGCUGGCGGCAGGCCUAACACAUGCAAGUCGAACGAGCGGCGGACGGGUGAGUAAUGUCUGGGAAACUGCCUGAUGGAGGGGGAUAACUACUGGAAACGGUAGCUAAUACCGCAUACCAUCAGAUGUGCCCAGAUGGGAUUAGCUAGUAGGUGGGGUAAAGGCUCACCUAGGCGACGAUCCCUAGCUGGUCUGAGAGGAUGACCAGGCAAACUGGAACUUAGACACCGUCCAAACUCCUACGGGAGGCAGCAGUGGGGAAUAUUUGACAAUGGGGGGAAGGCUGAUGCCGCCAUGGCGGGUGGAGGAAGGAGGGCUUCGGGGUGUAAAGGCCCUUUAGGGGAGGGGCGGUAACCGCCGAAGAAGCCACGGCUAACUCCGUGCCAGCAACCGCGGUAAUUC